rnacentral:rRNA from 1 species
UCCAGACUCCUACGGGAGGCAGCAGUGAGGAAUAUUGGUCAAUGGGCUUACGCCUGAACCAGCCAAGUCGCGUGAGGGAAGGCUGCCCUAUGGGUUGUAAACCUCUUUUGUCAGGGAGCAAUUGGGUCCACGCGUGGGCUUAGCGAGAGUACCUGAAGAAAAAGCAUCGGCUAACUCCGUGCCAGCAGCCGCGGUAAUACGGAGGAUGCGAGCGUUAUCCGGAUUUAUUGGGUCUAAAGGGUGCGUAGGCGGAAUAUCAAGUCAGCGGUAAAAUCGCGGGGCUCAACCUCGCUCCGCCGUUGAAACUGGCGUUCUUGAGUGGGCGAGAAGUAUGCGGAAUGCGUGGUGUGGCGGUGAAAUGCAUAGAUAUCACGCAGAACUCCGAUUGCGAAGGCAGCAUACCGGCGCCCAACUGACGCUGAAGCACGAAAGCGUGGGUAUCGAACAGGAUUAGAUACCCUCGUACGA